AUUGAAUGCUGGCGGCAGGCCUAACACAUGCAAGUCGAGCGGAGCGGCGGACGGGUGAGUAAUGCCUAGGAAUCUGCCUGGUAGUGGGGGAUAACGUCCGGAAACGGGCGCUAAUACCGCAUACUAUCAGAUGAGCCUAGGUCGGAUGAGCUAGUUGGUGGGGUAAAGGCCUACCAAGGCGACGAUCCGUAACUGGUCUGCGAGGAUGAUCAGUCACCCUGGAACUGAGGCACAGUCCAGGCUCCUACGGUAGGCACCAGUGGGGAAUGUUGGACAAUUGGCGAAAGCCUGAUCCAGCCCUGCCGCGUGUGUGAAGAAAGUCUUCGGAUUGUAAAGCACUUUAAGUUGGGAGGCGUUACCAACAGAAUAAGCACCGGCUAACUUCGUGCCAGCAGCCGCGGUAAUAC
rnacentral:rRNA from 1 species